rnacentral:rRNA from 1 species
GACGAAGGAUGCAAGCGUUGUCCGGAUUCAUUGGGUUUAAAGGGCGCGUAGGUGGCCUUAUAAGUCAGCGGUGAAAUCUCUGGGCUUAACCCAGAAAUUGCCAUUGAUACUGUAGGGCUUGAGUACAGUUGCUGUGGGCGGAAUAUGACAUGUAGUGGUGAAAUACAUAGAGAUGUCAUAGAACACCGAUUGCGAAGGCAGCUCACAAAACUGUAACUGACACUGAGGCUCGAAAGUGCGGGGAUCAAACAGG